ensembl:lncRNA
UUAGUAUGAUUUUACAUAAAUGGAAUCCACAUUUAGGAGCCCUUCAGUAAAUCCAGGCCAAGCUAAGAAGAUGAGCAAUGGGAGAAAGACCAAGGACAGAACACAUGGAGAUGACUGACCAGCGAGCUUUUAAUGCUUAAACCUCGUCAAAAGGGAGAGGACAAAGAGAUUGUACAAGAUCAGGAAGAACAAGGUCUACAGAGGACCCAUAUGUGUGACAUCAUCCCAAGCUGCUGCUUUGCGAGUGGUUGUUCUGCCUGACAGACGGGACAGGGCGCGGCUGAUGAUGUUUAGAAGAAGCCAAAGCGCAAGUGCAGCUUUUCAGACGAACCGCAAAAGAAAUUUCCCUCGUACCGUCGCGGGACUGGUCAUCUUUCUUAUACAGAUGAGGCUUUAUUUCUGUACCAUUAUUUUAAUUCCAGAGGUUUUUAAGUUGUUGUUUUUGCACUUGUUGGCUUGUAAAAGCCUGUAUGACAUUUUUUUAUUUCAC